rnacentral:rRNA from 1 species
AUUGAACGCUGGCGGCAUGCUUUACACAUGCAAGUCGAACGGUAACAGGCCGCAAGGUGCUGACGAGUGGCGAACGGGUGAGUAAUGCAUCGGAACGUGCCCAGUCGGGGGGGAUAACGCAGCGAAAGCUGUGCUAAUACCGCAUACGAUCUAUGGAUGAAAGCGGGGGACCGUAAGGCCUCGCGCGAUUGGAGCGGCCGAUGUCAGAUUAGGUAGUUGGUGGGGUAAAGGCCAACCAAGCCAACGAUCUGUAGCUGGUCGGCGAGGACGACCAGCCACACUGGGACUGAGACACGGCCCAGACUCCUACGGGAGGCAGCAGUGGGGAAUUUUGGACAAUGGGCGCAAGCCUGAUCCAGCAAUGCCGCGUGCAGGAAGAAGGCCUUCGGGUUGUAAACUGCUUUUGUACGGAACGAAACGGUCGGGGUUAAUACCCUGGGCUAAUGACGGUACCGUAAGAAUAAGCACCGGCUAACUACGUGCCAGCAGCCGCCGCCGUAA